AUUGAACGCUGGCGGCAGGCCUAACACAUGCAAGUCGAACGAGUGGCGGACGGGUGAGUAAUGUCUGGGAAACUGCCUGAUGGAGGGGGAUAACUACUGGACACGGUAGCUAAUACCGCAUACCAUCAGAUGUGCCCAGAUGGGAUUGUCUAGUUGGUGGGGUAACGGCUCACCAAGGCGACAAUCCCUAGCUGGUCUGAGAGGUUGACCAGCCACACUGGAACUGAGAACCGGUCCAGACUCCUACGGGAGGCAGAAGUGGGGAAUAUUGCACAAUGGGCGAAAGCCGGAUGCAGCCAUGCCGCGUGGAUGAAGAAGGCCUUCGGGUUGUAAAGUACUUUCAGCGGGGAGGCGUUACCCGCAGAAGAAGCACCGGCUAACUCCGUGCCAGCAGCCGCGGUAAUUC
rnacentral:rRNA from 1 species